rnacentral:rRNA from 2 species
UAUACAUGCAAGUCGAGCGAACUGAUUAGAAGCUUGCUUCUAUGACGUUAGCGGCGGACGGGUGAGUAACACGUGGGCAACCUGCCUGUAAGACUGGGAUAACUUCGGGAAACCGAAGCUAAUACCGGAUAGGAUCUUCUCCUUCAUGGGAGAUGAUUGAAAGAUGGUUUCGGCUAUCACUUACAGAUGGGCCCGCGGUGCAUUAGCUAGUUGGUGAGGUAACGGCUCACCAAGGCAACGAUGCAUAGCCGACCUGAGAGGGUGAUCGGCCACACUGGGACUGAGACACGGCCCAGACUCCUACGGGAGGCAGCAGUAGGGAAUCUUCCGCAAUGGACGAAAGUCUGACGGAGCAACGCCGCGUGAGUGAUGAAGGCUUUCGGGUCGUAAAACUCUGUUGUUAGGGAAGAACAAGUACGAGAGUAACUGCUCGUACCUUGACGGUACCUAACCAGAAAGCCACGGCUAACUACGUGCCAGCAGCCGCGGUAAUACGUAGGUGGCAAGCGUUAUCCGGAAUUAUUGGGCGUAAAGCGCGCGCAGGCGGUUUCUUAAGUCUGAUGUGAAAGCCCACGGCUCAACCGUGGAGGGUCAUUGGAAACUGGGGAACUUGAGUGCAGAAGAGAAAAGCGGAAUUCCACGUGUAGCGGUGAAAUGCGUAGAGAUGUGGAGGAACACCAGUGGCGAAGGCGGCUUUUUGGUCUGUAACUGACGCUGAGGCGCGAAAGCGUGGGGAGCAAACAGGAUUAGAUA